UGUGUUGUGGUUUGUAGCCUGCCAUGAUCAGUCGCCUGUGUAGUUUGUCAGCCUUGGAUGUCUACCUGUAACAUUACUUGCCUGAACCUUGUAUCUGUGUUUACCCCAUGCCUCACUUUUUGGAUUUAUCAUUGGACUCAGCCACUGCCUGAACAACAAUUCAGAUUGGACUGAUCUCAAAAAGAUGUACUAUUGAGAUCUUAGUGUGUUCUCAAGAGUUAAAGAAAAGACUAUUCUGAGCAAAAGAUUUUUCCUCUGGGAUACAUCUACCAAACAACCAAUUCUCAAAAUGCUGCUGCUAACUCUGCAAUACCUGGAAACAGCUGAUACCUCGAGGGGAUGCUGUACUUUCACAAAAUAUGGUGUUCUCAUUUCAUUCUGGGAGGAGGAGGACCCCAAAGAGGACCAGAGGGCAUGAGAGGGAGACAGAGAUGGAGAGGCUUCUUCUCCAAGCCCUGAAGAGGCCUGCUGCACCAAUCCCACCUCCUCUCUCUCCAAAGCCUGCUUCUUUCCCUGCAAAGAUUGCCACCCCAGGAUAAAGAGUUUGUGAAAUUUCAAAUUCACAAGCUCAUUUAUGAAUCCAGAACUGUGGUGUGCAAUUUGGAACCUGUGGAAUAGGUUAUCGGGGUGAUAAUCUCUGCAGGAAACAAACCAGGCUUUUGUUUGUUUGUUAAAUUGUUUCUUUAUUCUUUUGUUUUUAAAUUUAUCAGUGUUUAAUUUUAAAAUGUUAAUGAAUGUUUGUACUAAGUUAUUAUAAAUACUCUAUAAUCCUUA